CACGUAGGGGGCAAGCGUUGUCCGGAUUUAUUGGGCGUAAAGAGCUCGUAGGCGGCUCAGCAAGUCAGGUGUGAAACCUCCAGGCUCAACCUGGAGACGCCACCUGAUACUGCUGCGGCUAGAGUCCGGUAGGGGAGCGUGGAAUUCCUGGUGUAGCGGUGAAAUGCGCAGAUAUCAGGAGGAACACCAGCGGCGAAGGCGGCGCUCUGGGCCGGAACUGACGCUGAGGAGCGAAAGCGUGGGUAGCAAACAGG
rnacentral:rRNA from 1 species